rnacentral:tRNA from 1 species
ACUCAAAAUUAGCACUUUAAGCAACGG